rnacentral:lncRNA from 1 species
GAGGUCCCCCUAAGAAUAAAUCUUCAAAGGCAAAGAGAGCAAGAAUAGGAGAAACUUCUGGGACCAGAUCUCCAGCGCCUCUGCAAGAAACUACUGGUAUGUCUGCUCCCUCUAUUCCCUCUGAACACAUUUUGGCUUCUUCUUCUAAUCCUCUCCCAACUCCACCCAUUUACACAACCUCUGAAACUCCACCUUCUAUAACCAGAACUUCACAACCUCCACCAAAUGUUAAUCUUUCUCACACUACCACUUCCUCUUCAUCAUCUUCAGCCCCAGAAUCAC